GAUAGUUACCUAUACGGUAAAACUGUAAAUUUUAUUUGUUAGGAAAAUAAUUAUCA
rnacentral:tRNA from 1 species